GCCACAAACAUCAUGGGAGUCUCCGAAUGUCUGUGUUUUAAAGACACAGAUGGAAACAUUUAUGAAAGCCGUGUCCAGGUGACUCUGCCCCCUCACCCCUGCCUCACGCAGGAUGUGAGACUGGGCGAGACAUUCCACCUGGUAGCCUGUGCUUGCUCAGUGCCAGCGGCCGUUGCUGCCGUGGACAGAUCCUGCGGCUCAGAGGCCACCGUCUUUCCUGCAUCCUCACCAGUGACGGCCCCGGGAAGCUGCUGCAGGGUGGGGCUGCGCGGCUCGCUUCUCAAAUAAAGGAAAACGUCACAUCAAGCACAGCACAGCCACAUCCUUGCCUUCUCCAUCUGUUCCCUCCAAAAUCCCACAAUAGUUACGGCUGUAACUAAGAUGUAAUAAUCAUACAAAUAUUGUGAAUAACAUACACGGCUGAAUUUAACAUCAAAAUGAAAUGAAUUUCUAGAAAGUAUUUUAAGAUGCCAUAGUUAAUGUAAGAAAAAAUAAAGAACUUGCAUACACUAACAAUAAAUAAAUCAACGUGGUGUUAAAAUCUGCCCCGUUUCAUCUACCAUCUCCGCAAAAUGUGCCCACACUAGAGGGUCUUCAGAGUGAGGUGGACCAGGCCUUCCAGAAGCACAUCACCCUCAUCUUAAGUGGGUCCAGAGAAUGGAAGGAAAGGGGCAGGAGUGACUCAUGUCUUGAUGGUUGUGUAUACCGUGUGCAAAAUACGCAGAGAAACUACAGGCCAAGUUUAAACAUAGAUGGAUAACCCCUAAGUGAGAUUAAUCAAUUCCAAGAGCAUAUUAAAAAGUCAUGAUUAAAGAAGCUUACCUCAUAAAGUACAAGAAUGAUGCACCAUCAGAAAAUCUGUCAAUCACACACAAAAUAAAAAUUGUGAUUGUUUCAGUAGAUGCAGAAAAACACUGAUGGAGUUCAAUAUUUUUCUCUCUCUUUUUUCUUGAGACAGAGUCUCACUCCAUUGCGCAGGCUGUAGGGCAGUGGUGUGACCUCGGCUCACUGCAACCUCCACCUCCCGGGUUCAAGCAAUUCUCCUGCCUCAGCCUUCCAAGUAGCUGGGAUUACAGGUGUGCACCACCACACCCGGCUAAUUUUUGUACUUUUAGUAGAGACGGGGUUUCACCAUGUUAGCCAGGCUGGUCGAUGGAGUUCAACAUUUUUCAUAAUAAAAAUCCUUAGAAAAGCAAAGAGUAUUCCAGACAGUGUGUGGAAGGAGGUACAUGGGGGGAAACGUCUGCAGAGGAAAACGGAGAGCUCCUGCCUUGUCUUAGGUACCAAGUCUCACUGUCGCGCCAAGACAAGGUGCAUAUUUUAUAACACAUAAUUUUAUAUUUAUUAGAAAAGGGAGGCCAGGCGUGGUGGCUCACGCCUGUAAUCCCAGCACUUUGGGAGGCCGAGGCGGGCGGAUCACAAGGUCAGGAGAUCGAGACCACGGUGAAACCCCGUCUCUACUAAAAAUACAAAAAAAUUAGCCGGGCGCUGUUAGGCUCUGUAGUCCCAGCUACUCGGGAGGCUGAGGCAGGAGAAUGGCGUGAACCCGGGUGGCGGAGCUUGCAGUGAGCCGAGAUCGCGCCACUGCACUCCAGCCUGGGCGACAGAGCGAGACUCCGUCUCAAAAAAAAAAAAAAAAAGAAAAAAAA
rnacentral:lncRNA from 1 species